rnacentral:rRNA from 1 species
GCAAGUCGAACGGCAGCAUGAUCUAGCUUGCUAGAUUGAUGGCGAGUGGCGAACGGGUGAGUAAUACAUCGGAACGUGCCCUGUAGUGGGGGAUAACUAGUCGAAAGAUUAGCUAAUACCGCAUACGACCUGAGGGUGAAAGUGGGGGACCGCAAGGCCUCAUGCUAUAGGAGCGGCCGAUGUCUGAUUAGCUAGUUGGUGGGGUAAAGGCCCACCAAGGCGACGAUCAGUAGCUGGUCUGAGAGGACGAUCAGCCACACUGGGACUGAGACACGGCCCAGACUCCUACGGGAGGCAGCAGUGGGGAAUUUUGGACAAUGGGCGAAAGCCUGAUCCAGCAAUGCCGCGUGUGUGAAGAAGGCCUUCGGGUUGUAAAGCACUUUUGUCCGGAAAGAAAUGGCUCUGGUUAAUACCUGGGGUCGAUGACGGUACCGGAAGAAUAAGGACCGGCUAACUACGUGCCAGCAGCCGCGGUAAUACGUAGGGUCCAAGCGUUAAUCGGAA